rnacentral:tRNA from 1 species
ACCAGCAUGGUGUAGUGGUCUGAGUGUUGGACUGGAACUCUAGAGACCAGGGUUCGAUUCCCUGCUUGGCC